GCACUUUUAGGAAUAUUAUGUCUUACCAUACAAGGCAAGAAAAUAGCAAAAAAGGAGGGAAAGCCAAAAUACCAAAAAAAAUAAAAAAAUCUUGCACACACUGAUACACUUUAACCACACACAGUUACUCAGACCCUCACUGGUACUCGUCCUCACAGAAUGAGACACAUAAACUCUACACUCUAUAUAGUCAGAGUUUCAUCACCCGGAAAAAACAGAAAAAAGAAAAAAAUGUUGCUUCUUCUUUGGAUCAAGUUUCAUGUCUCCAUAGUGGCCGUCAAUCUUCGAUAUUCAGUUGUUAGACAACAUUUUGCGAUAAUAAGUAAAAUUCCUGAGACGAGACUUGUUUUGCGACCAAAGUAAGUCAACAUUUUGUGACAAUAGUCUGAUUUAUAUUUGCUUCUCAAAAGAAACAACAUGCCUUUUUACCUUUUUGUUUUCUUUCAUUUGUGUCCUCUGUUGCAAAGUGGAUCUGGCAUAUUUAUGCUGUAAAAGAAGCUCAAAUGGAUCUUUUUUGAGUAUUGGCUUUUCAUCUUCAAACUGUUUUCUCCUAUUUUUUUUUUAUUUUUUUUUUACCAAAGUGAGGAAGAAGGGCAUGGAGAGGUUGAAGAUAAAAAAAAUCAUGCUCUAUUUUUUUCAUUCUACUGCUAGUGCUCCUAAGUCUGGGAUACAUGAAGGCACUUGUUGGUAUUACUAAUUAGCGUCCUCAUUUUCAUAUUUGUGUUCUUUCCUCAUUCCUUAUUGGCUCCAACCCAGAGCAAGAUGUCAUGAUUUAAGUUUUAUGUCAAUUGCUAAAAAUAGUUAUCGAUAUAAACCUUGCUUGUUGGGAUCAGUUGUCUCUUUCAGCGAAGGAGUCUGUUCAUUAUGUUGGGACAUUAUUUGUUCUGCAUAUUUCAUUUUAAAUUUCAAGAUGCUAUGUUGUCAUCCAGUACGUGUGUAUUGUUGGAGAAAAGAUCUCUGAUGUAUCAGAAAGUAUUUUAUUUUUAUAGAUAGUUUCAGAUCUUAGAGAUUGACUAUGUUUUCUCUUUUUUAUUGCUAGAUUUAGUUCUUUAUGGAUAAAGCUUGUUAGAGUUAUGAACUUCUCUUCUCUUUUUAUUUAUUUAAUUCUUUCUCUUUCAUGUUCUUUUAGUAUUACUUAGGCGAUUAAUUUUAUACUUCAGUGUAUGUGUACUAUGCCAAAAUCAUUUGAUUGUUUAUUGAAAUCAGUGAGAUGCCACUCAAACUACUGUUUCUUGACUUUGAGAAUCUACCAAUCUCUGAUUCUUGAAGUAAAGGUGUAUAAAAGAUUUUUUUGGCUUUCUUACCCUCUCUUCCCAUGCUUGUCCUAAGACAUAUUGCACUAAGAAUUGACAUUGGCAAUAACUUAUAGAAAAAGAAUUGAAUUUGACGAUAUCAAUGAAUCACUCUUCUAUGCCCUCUUAACUAUUUUUAAGUUUUUUGAUUUAUAUUGUCAGUUUGAUUUGUUGCAGCUUUCUCAGAAUCUCUGUUUGUUUGUCUUUGGUUUUCUUAUUUAUGUUUCUUUCCUUGAGACGGUGAGAUGAGGGUUUUAGAAGGAGCAAUUGUUACCAGAUUCCAUUGUUAUCAGACGGUGAGCAAUUUUUUUGGUACUCAGAAUCACUCUUCUUUUGUACAUUGCAAGUGCUUAUCUGUGACUAUAUUCUGUGGUAAUUUCAUUGACUAUAUUCUGUGGUAAUUUCAUUCUCUUUUUUAAGGUUUUAUUUUUUGGUGAUUAGUUAUGGUGCCAACAUGGAGACUUCAUUCUUUGAAUACCCAAGUUUGGAUUUAUAUAUUGAUAUUAUGUGAAAUCAGAUAACUUUGGUAUAUUAGCUAUUUGACUGAUGGUCGUCUGUGUUCUCUUAUAUGUAAAAUUUGUAUAUAAUAACGUUUUGGUUGAAUAUCCUAAAUUAAAUGUUGGGUGUUGGUUUUAUUUGCCAAGUCUUUAAAAUAUAUAUAUGUACCUUACAAGUUACCUCAUUAAUCGUUAAUGCAUAAGUUUGGUUAUGUUUGUUUGUGCUUAAUUAAUCUUUUUGUCUUCCUAAUGAGCAUGGAUAACUAGUACAAUUCCUUUUCAUUUACUGUUUAUUUUUUUCUUCUUAAUAUUUUGACUAGAUAGAAUGAAGUUGCUUGCUGAUAAAAUUGUUAAGUUCGGAUUGGUGAGAAGGUUGAUGCCUGGGUAAAGAAACAAGGAGUAAAUACCAUACUUUACAAGUUGUUUGUGUACCACGGUGCUUAUGGCAUAGGUGGCAUAGUUGGUGUUUCUCACCGUAGUUAUCACACAUUGGAUAGCAAUAACAAGCAGUUUGGUAGGAUAGACGCACACUUGGAUUGCUCUGAAAGAUCAGAUUAGCAUCUCUUCGGGAGAAAGAGAACACAAAAAAGAAGGCAAAGGGGAAGAAAAGACCAAUGGAUUUGAGGGCGAAAAAGAAUACGAACAAGAAGGCAAAG